UAGAAGCAGAAGACUGAGGAGUUGGCAGAG
rnacentral:piRNA from 1 species